rnacentral:rRNA from 1 species
GAGACAGCAGUAGCCGCGGGAAUACGGAGGGUGCAAGCGUUAUCCGGAUUUAUUGGGUUUAAAGGGUCCGUAGGCGGAUCUGUAAGUCAGUGGUGAAAUCUCACAGCUUAACUGUGAAACUGCCAUUGAUACUGCAGGUCUUGAGUAAAUUUGAAGUGGCUGGAAUAAGUAGUGUAGCGGUGAAAUGCAUAGAUAUUACUUAGAACACCAAUUGCGAAGGCAGGUCACUAAGAUUUAACUGACGCUGAUGGACGAAAGCGUGGGGAGCGAACAGGAUUAGAUACCCCAGUAGUCCCUGUCUCUUAUAA